ACCAACCCAUUUGCUAAAGCUCUCAGAAUCAAAGAGUGUGAUGAUCACAAAUUGAAGAUGGAUAUACAAUACUAUACCGAUUGGCUUUAGUCCAAGUGAAAGUUAUUGAAAAAAUAUAUUCCAAAGUCAAUCAUUAGACGAUUGUACUCAUCUUGUAAAUUAUAUAAAAAUUUUUUUAAUAAAAAUUAUUUGAUAUUUUUAUUACAAAUUGGCC
rnacentral:lncRNA from 1 species